CUACGGGCCGCUGCAGUGAGGAAUAUUGCACAAUGGGGGGAACCCUGAUGCAGCAAUGCCGCGUGGAGGAUGACGCAUUUCGGUGUGUAAACUCCUUUUAUAUGUCAAGAAAAUGACGGUAGCAUAUGAAUAAGCACCGGCUAACUCCGUGCCAGCAGCCGCGGUAAUACGGAGGGUGCAAGCGUUACUCGGAAUCACUGGGCGUAAAGGACGCGUAGGCGGGUUGGAAAGUCAGGUGUGAAAUCCUACAGCUUAACUGUAGAACUGCACUUGAAACUUCUAAUAUAGAGUAUGGGAGGGGGAGAUGGAAUUAGUGGUGUAGGGGUAAAAUCCGUAGAUAUCACUAGGAAUACCUAAAGCGAAGGCGAUCUCCUGGAACAUUACUGACGCUAAGGCGUGAAAGCGUGGGGAGCAAACAGGAUUAGAUACCCGCGUAGUC
rnacentral:rRNA from 1 species